rnacentral:lncRNA from 1 species
AUGUCACAAGCACAAGAAUUCCCACGAGUACCAAUACUGCCAGUACAGCAGGCGGCGGUAAAAUCCUCAGCGCUCGCUGCCACAGACAGCGAAGAAGAAAGGGAGGAGGACGAAGAACAGGAAGUUUUCGGGGACGCGUCUGAAAUGGUUCCCAGCACAACUGAUUCAGAAAGACCGAGCACCAGCAGGCCGAGAGUGACAAGAUCAAAGACGAUUAAAAGUGGAAAGAUCAGCGUCACAGCUCCGAAAGACACAGCGCCGAACAUAACAGCUCCGAUGGUCGAAGUUGCGGGUCCGGAUGGGCCAAUGCUGGUUUUUAGAGCUUGGACAAUGUCUGAUAUGAGAGACGCGAUGGCACAUCUACCGGAUCCGCAGGACGCGGGCGAAAGAUUUGCGAAAGAAUUGCUUUUACUGUGCCGAGAGUUCAGCCCGACUUCACAAGAACUGAGACGGAUGCUGGGUGUGAAAAUGGGUCCAGCGAACUGGCAUAGGGUGAGCGGAAAACUGGCGACAACGGACGUGAGACGUGUGCACACAGACUGGGACCAUGCGAGCAACGAACCAUACAGGAAAGAGGUAGAAAAUUUCACUAACGCAGUAAGCACAGCAUUUCCUCCGCGUGUGGACACUGAAAAGAUUACAUGUUGCACUCAGGAGAAGGAGGAGUCUGUCAGCAGCUAUUAUUACAGACUUUUUGAAACAUUUGGAAAACACAGCGGCUUGACAGAGCCUACGGACAGAGGGAACAAACCAAGUACGUGGGAAAGCCUUCUAUUGAGUUAUUUUCUGAAAGGACUGAGACCAGAAAUUUCAAGGGGAGCAAAGGCAAGUUACGUGGAGUGGAAGAACGGGCGUUUAACGUCAGCCCUGAUGCACGCUAUACACGCCGAAGACCAGCUGCAGGAAAAGAAAGACAGAAAACCACUCACAAUGGCGAUUGUGCAAUGCGAACCAAACAAGCCUGCAAAUCAACAAAAGACGAGAGGAAGAAAUGACGGAAGGAAAUGGCGGUGCUAUGUGUGUGCUACGAACGACCAUGCGCUCAGAGACUGUACCAAAUGCAGAGUGUGCAGGAGAGACGGGCAUUGGAGCAGUGCGUGCCCGAAUGUAAAGUCUGAUUGA